AUUUUAUGUUAUAUAUAUUGAGUGAAGUGAAUCACCUAGCUAGCACCGUCCAAUGACAUUUAGCUGCGAAUCAUCCGCGCCAUUCGGGUGUAACACCCCCCCCCCUCCCUCUCCCCAAUCUUGCUGAAAAAUAUUUAAUUUAAGUGGAAUAUAUGAAAUACCUAAAAUUUACCUCAAAUUGCAAUGCCUUGAAAUUGACUGAACAUAAAAAAGAAAAGAAAAUUAGGGGGGGGGGGGGGCACAAAUGGAAAACUUCCAAGUUGAAUGUAUAUAAUAUAUAAUGGCCUCACUCAAACCGAAACUAGUACUCGACAAAGCGGAAGGUAUGAAAGAGGUAUUUCCCGGAAGGCUCUGAGUUUUUCGCGGAAAAGAUUUGGCAGGUUCAGGAAAUCGGGCCAAUACACACCCUGACGAAAUGGAAACAUUUUUGAGCGGAGGGUUUUCAAAAGAAGUAAUGAACCCUUUCAAGGGGAGACAUUAAAGAAAUGGUGGCGUGUGGCCGAUCAAGACAGGGCUCACGGUGAGUAUGACUGUUCAACAGGGAAUGCUUGCUCCUCCUAGACACCUGAUCCAACCUCUUGUAUGUCCAGGGAUCCGUGCUUCAAUACAUUCUGCCUCAUAAGAAUACUAAAACAGAGAAUGCAGAAAGCUUGUGUAUCAACUGGCUAAAGUAGAGUUAAAUCACAGAUUGCUUGUCCACAUGUGAUGAAUCUCCAAAAUUAAACACAAUAAGACGCUUGAGAUGUAUAUAUAUAUUUGGGGCGCUCUUGCCUUUUUCAUUUCACUUAUAAAAACCGCAUCUACUUGCACGCAUGAUUGUAUUUAGAUGAAAUGAAAUGAACAGACAAAUAAAUCCUUCUGUAUGCAGACAAUUAUAAGUUAAUAAAACUUAAAACUACU